rnacentral:piRNA from 1 species
UGCCAUAGGUUCUGCGAUGAGAGGUGCAA